GAUGAAGAACGUAGCGAAAUGCGAUAAGUAAUGCGAAUUGCAGAAUCCGUGAGUCAUCGAAUCUUUGAACGCACAUUGCGCCCUGUGGUAUUCCGCAGGGCAUGCCUGUUCGAGCGUCAUUUCAACCCUCAAGCCCCGCUUGGUGUUGGGCCCCGCCCGCUGUGGCCGGCCCUAAAGACAGUGGCGGCGCCGCCUGGCCCUCAGCGUAGUACAUCUCUCGCUCCAGGGUCCGGUGGCCGCCUGCCAGAACCCCCCAACUCUGUGGUUGACCUCGGAUCAGGUAGGGAUACCCGCUGAACUUAAGCAUAUCAAUAAGCGGAGGA
rnacentral:misc_RNA from 1 species